rnacentral:misc_RNA from 1 species
GGAAGUAAAAGUCGUAUCAAGGUUUCCGUAGGUGAACCUGCGGAAGGAUCAUUCAUAAUAAGUGUUCUACUGCACUUUUUAAAAAUAGUACUCACCUUGUGUGCAAUAUUGUGUUUCUUUUCGGAGAAACACCUACACCAACCUAUAACCUUGAACCACUUUGUCUGAAAAACUAUUAUGAAUACUUAAUUCAAAAUACAACUUUCAACAACGGAUCUCUUGGCUCUC